UACGUAGGGUGCGAGCGUUGUUCGGAUUUACUGGGCGUAAAGGGCGCGUAGGCGGCCACCGCAAGUCGACUGUGAAAUCUCCGGGCUUAACUCGGAAAGGUCAGCCGAUACUGCGGGGCUAGAGUGCAGAAGGGGCAACUGGAAUUCUCGGUGUAGCGGUGAAAUGCGUAGAUAUCGAGAGGAACACCUGCGGCGAAGGCGGGUUGCUGGGCUGACACUGACGCUGAUUGUGCGAAAGCUAGGGGAGCGAACGGG
rnacentral:rRNA from 1 species